CACGUAGGUGGCUUUGCAAGUCGAUUGUGAAAUCCCCGGGCUUAACCUGGGAACUGCAGUCGAGACUGCUUUGCUUGAGUAUGGGAGAGGGAGGUGGAAUUUCCGGUGUAGCGGUGAAAUGCGUAGAUAUCGGAAGGAACAUCAGUGGCGAAGGCGACCUCCUGGACCAAUACUGACACUCAAGUGCGAAAGCGUGGGGAGCAAACAGGAUUAGAUACCCUGGUAGUCCACGCCAUAAACGAUGAGAACUGGAUGUCGGAGGGGUCUGCCCUUCGGUGUCGUAGCUAACGCGUUAAGUUCUCCGCCUGGGGAGUACGGCCGCAAGGUUGAA
rnacentral:rRNA from 1 species